rnacentral:lncRNA from 1 species
AAAUGAGAAGCACAAAAAGUAGCACGACUAACAUUAUCAAAUAUUCAAACAUAAAAACAACAAUUUAACAAUAAAUAAUCCAGCAAAAUUGUAACAAGACGAAGUUUCUAUCAAGCUAUUCGGACAAAUGUAUUGAAGGAGAUGACUGACUUAAAUAUUGAAAAAAGAUAGGAAAUAAGUUCCCUUAAAAGACACGGUAAGAUUUUCCCAUUGAACUCUUCAGAUACAAGCACCGAACCUGAAAUCAAGAGUAGGUUAUAUUAGAUAAAUGUCUGGUUCAUUCAUACUGAAUAUUCCUAGGAUAUUGAAGAAACAACAAAAAAUAGCAGUAGAGUUUAAAGAAUAAGCCCGUAAAUCAGUGUUAAAAAAUUUCAACUAGGGAACUAGCAUACACUCUAAAGUUAUCGUAGCAAACACAUUCAACAUGAUGCAAAUCAAAAAAGCAAUUGUCAAACCACUUAUCCCUAAUUUGAGGUCAAAUUUUGUACACAGAUACUACAGCAAUUCAAGGAAUAAAAAUAAAGGAAACAUGUGUGCGGAUGAAAGAAAGCAUGUUAGGUUGCAGGCACAAACGAUGCAGAGCAUCAUGCUACCAUUUCACCGGACGGCAUCUAAGAAAUCAUACUUUCUUGUAACUUACAAAAUAAAGGUAAAAUAGAAGCAAACAGAGCAAUGAGUUUAGGCAAUGAUGAAAUAAAAGGAACACUCACAUUCUGCCAGUUCUUUUUCAACAAGGAGACAAGGAAGUUAACACUGAGUUGAACAUUUUGAAAGAUUUGCUUUUCAUCCAUGCUAACAUUACCCACAGCUACUCCCAUACAGAGCACCUUCUUAAGCUGAAAUUUCACCAUAGCUUUUGUCUCAUUGACCUUUCCCUCGAGAGAUUCUUGGUGAGAGACAAGUGUUGGGAACUUCCCUGUAAAGUAAUGCAUGCAAAACAUAAAUCUCAACAACUUAAGCCAUAAUUAAAUUCUGAAAUCUUAAGGACGGAAUAAAAUAUAUUUUUCGAACAAGGCAAUUCAUUAAAAGAAACACUUAGAAGGAUAUGAAUAAGAUAUCAAAAGAUGGUAUAGUACUUCAUAGAUUUUUAGGAAACUAGUACUUUAAAAUCAAAAGAUUUACAGCGUAAAUGAUAAGAUAUUGAUAAAUAGACUACAACGUAUAAUUACAAAAUAUUCAAAACAAACAAGGUAAACACAUAAAGGGCAACCCGGUGCACUAGAGCACCCGCAUAUGCAGGGUCCGGACCAUUUGGUGUAUUGUAUGCAGCCUUACCCUAUUUUACACAAGAGGCUGUUUCCAGAACCCAAGGUAAACACAUAUUUCCGGUAAAAAAUAAAAACGUAAAACUUAAACCAAGAGAAACACAUGCCUGCCUUGUUGAGACCAGGACCCAAAAGACGAGGAAUCUGCUUAAUGACUGCCUCAGAAGCUAAGAAAGCAUGGUACUUCUUGGCUAGCUUUUUCACCAACUUCUUAUUUUUGUUGAGCUUCUUCAAGGCUUCAACAUCCAUUGAUUCCAAACCUAUCUUCUCUGCCUGCAAAUUGGAGAGAUAGAUUAAACACAAAUGACAAGGCAAAAACUGGAAGGAUAAUUACAGAAGAGCAUUAUUAUUUUAUGUUCUGAAAACAAGUAAUCCUUAUGAAAUAACUUAUUUGUCAUUUUAAAAGCAGAACUUCUUAGUUCUAACUAUUUACCAUUAUACAUUUAAUUAUAUACAAAAUCACAAAAUAUAAACCAGCAAUGCUGAACCUACAUAAUAACAACACUUUCCUGAACAGUGAUAUCACAAUUAGGUUAUAGAACUUCAGAAGCAUUGUAUCAUUUGAACAAAUUACAAAAAUAGUAAAAUUCCUAAAUUAUGCCAACAAAAAUCGCAAAACUAAACUGGAAGGAAAAAACAAAGAUAAGAUCUAUAAAAAUAAAGCAAUGAUCAUGAGUAUUUGAACUUGUGAUAAACCACAACACCCACUUGAAUAUUCAUAAAACAGUUUGAUAAUUGUAAUGGUCGUAUCUUUUUAGCUAUCGAAGAAUAAACAAAAAUGCUAUCAAAGAACAUUGCUAUUCAGUAUGAAUAGUUUUAUCAUAUAUGGUACAAAUUCAUGAGUGGCAGUGGCAGUGUAGUGUUUUCAAAAGAGUUUAAAAAGCAAGUAAUCCUAAUAGUCGUUAAUUGCUUGUCUAGUAAUUUGGAUUUAAGUUAUAAUGAUAUAAAAUAGGGAAAUGUUAACUAAGUGCCCCAAGGGAAAUGUUAUAAUAUAUUUUAUCUUGCGAAUGAUAUAUUCAACACAUUGAAAGUUUAAAAAGUAACUUUGUCUACAUAAAACUUGUAAAUUAUUUCUAUAUUUGAAUCCUUAACUAGAGCCCUAAGGGCAUUGGUUAACAAGACCCUAUAAAAUAAUAUGAGAUGGAUUUAGUAGUAUGGUGAGAUAAAAAAAAAUCAGCAUCUGUGGAUUCCAUCUCUACGGUUGUCUGGCCGCUGCCUAAUUAUAACAAACCCACCGUUUUUCUGAAAACAUUCAGAUCCUUCAUUUUUUUUUUAAAAAGGAAAUUGUGUUAAUCAGUUACAAGCAGAAGCUAUAAUCAAGCUUUUUAUGUACGCACCAAAUCUUCAAGAAGAAAACAAUAUGUGUUUCCCCAUCAGAAAUUGGAUCAGUGCCAAAAACAAACACUCUUUAAGUACAGAAAAGACUAAGAAAAAUUGAAAAUAAAAGUGCCCAUCACUCAUAAACAUAACAAAGGAAAAUCAUAUGGGAGCAGGGCUCAUAUCAAGUGUAAAUUAUGAAAAAUCUGUCACAGUGAGAAAAACCCAAUUCAACAGAAGGGAAGUACGAAAAAAGAAAAGGAGAAAAAAGACGAAGACAGGACAUGAGAUACCAAACCGAACCCUUAGAUGAAAAGGGUUUGGCGGCACCUUCAAGUUCUGAACUUCAAGUUGGUGUUUUUGUUUUUGUUGGAAAUUUAGAACAAAGUGGUACAAUAUAUAUCAAUCAAUGACAUUGGGCAUUCCCACUCGAGACCUCUCUCAUUAUAAUCACUGCCCUACUCUCUCGGCUCAGCAAAACUGCUGAAACCCUUUUAGGAUGACAAUGAAGUGAACAACUGAUACAGCUCACAGUUAUAUAGCACCACUGAUUUUUAUUAGGAUUUGACAGAUAUACUUUAUCUUAUAUACACACCAUUGCAAAUGAUGAUAUUCUAAUCUCAUUGUAAAAAUACAUCCACAAAUAUCUAUGUAUCGUAAAUUGAUUGAUUGAAUGCACGUGUCGAUGAAUACAAAUUAAAUCCUAUUUCAAAAGCAUUGUAUCAUUCUAACAAUAAACAAAUCAUCAAAUGAUACCAAACAAUAGUUACAUAAAAAAAAAACACAUUAAAUUGGAAUGAAACAAUAAUGCUAAGAUCAGCGGAGAGAUAUAUACCUCUUCAACGUGUUGGGCAUCUCCGAGCAUACAAAGCUUCAUCUUAGGACGAGGGAUAUGAGGCAACUUGACGGAGCCACUGAAACGCUUAUCUUUUUGCGGGUCGUAGUUCUUGAGACCAAUUUGAAGUUCAAUGGUCUCAACAAACUUGCGAUUCUUCUCUUUGGAAUCAGCCAUGAUUCCUGAGAUUGCUUCUCUCACUGCCUCACUUUGAAGCUUACU